UGGGGAAUCUUGGACAAUGGGCGAAAGCCUGAUCCAGCCAUGCCGCGUGAGUGACGAAGGUCUUCGGGUUGUAAAGCUCUUUCAGACGGAAAGAAACGGUUACGGCUAAUACCCGUGACUAAUGACGGUACCGUAAGAAGAAGCACCGGCUAACUACGUGCCAGCAGCCGCGGUAAUACGUAGGGUGCGAGCGUUGUUCGGAUUUACUGGGCGUAAAGGGCGCGUAGGCGGCAAUUCAAGUCAUCUGUGAAAUCUCCGGGCUUAACUCGGAACGGUCAGAUGAUACUGCUUUGCUAGAGUGCAGAAGGGGCAAUCGGAAUUCUUGGUGUAGCGGUGAAAUGCGUAGAUAUCAAGAGGAACACCUGAGGUGAAGACGGGUUGCUGGGCUGACACUGACGCUGAGGCGCGAAAGCCAGGGGAGCAAACGGGAUUAGAUACCCAAGUAGUCCCUGAGCGGGCUGGCAAGGCGCAU
rnacentral:rRNA from 1 species